UGUGAUGUCAUAUACUUUCAAAGGUCCCA
rnacentral:piRNA from 1 species